UUUCAAUCCCUUUCUUCACCCUUGUAUGUUUUUCUGUCUUACACUCUACGAUUUAAAUCAGUUAUAACCUGCAUACUAAAUAAUGUCAGGAUAAUUGUAACUGUAUAUGAAGGGGAGCCUUGGCGCAGUGGUAAAGCUGCUGCCUUGUGACCAUGAGGUCAUGGGUUCAAGUCCUGGAAACAGCCUCUUACAGAAAUGUAGGGAAAGGCUGCGUACUAUAGACCCAAAGUGGUCGGACCCUUCCCUAGACCCUGCGCAAGCGGGAGCUACAUGCACCAGGUUGCCCUUUUAUACUUGUAACUGUAUAUACCUUGUCAUUCUAAGUUAACUGUUUGGCUGUGGCGCAGUUCCAUUGUUAAAACAGCUGCAGAAGGCCAUCGAUAAUGUUUAGCAUGAGAACAAAUAAAGCUUAUAGUACUGGCUCACUUUGAUUUGUGGAGAAAUACUUGUCAUUCAUUCUUGGUAACUGCAUCUGCAUGGCAGCAUAACAUAUUAACAUAUGAGAGUAAUAAUGUGAGAGUAUUGUAUUUGUUGAGCCAACCAGAAACAUCUUGUCAAGCAUACGGUAGCUUCUCCAGCCAACGAAAAGCAAAUGCAGGAAAAAAGUAUGUUAUCCUAGUCACAGAGUUUAGGAGCCUAAAUAGUGUGGACCCUGAAAAAAAUACUACUCUCUCCGUCCCAAAAUAAGUGUCGUGGCUUUAGAUGCUUUCCAAAUAACAGUAUUGCAAGCCAGCUUCUGAAAAAUAAACAUGGCUACUUGAUUCUAGCAGGUCUGAAAUGUCAAAGAGCUCUUCUCCUAUCUCCAGCAAAUUUAAACCUUUUCCGACAACCCUGAGUGACAAUUUUGAAGUUGUGUCUGUGUGUUUGAGAGAAACCCCAAAAUAUAGAUAAGAAUGUUUCUGAUAGCGCAUCGCGUAUGAUCAGAGAGACAGAGACACUAAUAUUUACAUGAUAUAAGUGGUAACUGCAUGACCAGCAUCUGAUGCCAUUGAUUUUUCUCCUUGUAUUUUUACACUUACAAUCACUGAAUUACUGCUAACAAAUUUAAAAGCAUCCAGAGCAUGGCUAAACAAAGGAGAAUUAUCUCCUCCAGUACAGAAGUGAGGACAAACAUGGAUUGCAUGCAUGUGUUAGCAGUAUUUGGCAGUAAUCCCUUGUGUAUUCAGUAAUGAAAUGGGCAC
rnacentral:lncRNA from 1 species